GACCACAUUAGGGUGAUAUCAGUGUGAUGAUACCAAUGUCUGAGGGACAACUCUUUAGUUAAUAAUAAAACAAUGUAAUCAAAAAUAGAUCAGUGGCUACUGAUAAAGAUUAAAGAUUAUCCAUGACUGACUGUAGGUGCAACGUCAGUGAUAGCACCUGAUUAACUGCCACCACACCCCUCUAAUCAGGUAGGUGCAGGAGCCGUGUGUAUAUAUAUCCACUCACUUGGGCCACUGCCCAUACAUCCGCUCUGCCACCAAACCUGGAAUACUAACAAAAACGGAUCUAGCACCACUGCUUUCAAAAUACAGUACAGACUCAAGGACCACAUCUUGGUGCAACAGACAGCUGAGGAAGAAAGUUAAGGGUCUUUAACCACACCAAAAGUUCAAAAUCAAAAUGGGCAAUGAAGUGUCAUCUCACAAGAAGAAAAGCCGAAAGGGUAAGGCUCAAAAUGGCGAUCUUAAUGGUCAUGCUGGCAAUGCCUCCUCCAAUGGCCUGACUGAAACAGUGACCACUGAGGUAACUGUUGAGACGACCACUGAGACUUCUACCUCAACAAAAACAAGUCCUGCUCCCAUAGCAGAGGCCACUAACGGUAGCCAGACUGAUGAAGAAGUUCAGGAGCAAUCCUCUGACAAAGCUGCAGCAGAACAACCCAGUGAUGCUGUACACAUCACCCAGGAAGGAGAAGAAUCAAAGUCACCUGGAGGAACUAAGACCAACUUUUUCGACAAACUUUUCCACAAAAAGAGUGACACAAAGCCUGUGGAGGUUGACGUUGAAAUCCAGUCAAAAGAAAUUACCUUACCUUACCUUGACCAGGUUGAUGCAGAAGAGGUAACCAGUGACCUCAAGUCUGAGCCUGUGGACAUAAAGGACAGUACAGAGCUUGAACUGUCAGAGAGGGAGCCUCUCCACCCCUGUCCAACCGACACAGAACAGAACCAAACGGAGGAAAAUCCAGUUAUGAACUUUUUUAAAACACUUGUGGCUCCAACCAAAACUCCCAAAGAAGCCACAGCAAGUUCUGAUGUUACAAAAGUCCAGUCACUGAAAGAAACCACAGAGACAAAAGCACCAGCAAAUGUACAGGAAGUGGAUAUAGCGAAAGGGAAGAUGGCCCCACCUCCGCCGCCAGAGCCACCAAAGUUGGAGGUCAAGAUUGAGCCAACAGUUAAGAAAGAGGAGCUACAGGAUGAAUCUAAGGAUACAGAGACAGGCACCAAACCCAAAGCUGCCAAAGAAAGCGCCUUUAGCAAAUUCUUCCGUCCAAAGGCAGUUGAGGAGGCAGCAGCACCUGUGGAGGUAGAGGUAGUUGAGGAGGCAGCAGCACCUGUGGAGGUAGAGACUGAUGCUUCCAAGACUGCCACCCUAGAAGCCUCUGCUAAACCAGAACCUGCCCCAGCAGUCAAAGAGGAGGAGACGAAGGCUGAAAAGAAGCCCUCAACUUUUGGAUCCAUUUUCAAACCUAAAGUAAGGGCUUGGCCUUCAGGAGAAUGUUUAUUUAAACAAUUGCAAGUUACGUUAAUAGUCCUUAGAGUAUUAUUCAUAUAGUAACAAAGUUGUGUGAAUUUGAGGUAUUGCUAGACCAAGUGACCGCUAAGAUCCAGGCGGUGGCCUCAUCUAGUGGAAUUGGUCGUGCUGCAAAGUCAGCUGGACGGGUAAAUGACCCAAAAAAUUAUUUAAUUAGGCUAAUCUAACUAAAUGACUUACAGUUUGCGUGACAUAUGAAUUUGUCCCAUACUAGAGGUUCUGUUAACCAACAUUUGGUCAACUGCUUCACGUUUUGCUCAAUUAAUGACUAAAACAUCUUCAUAUACUUAUUGCUGGUCUUUAACUGUGUUUAUAUAUGUUUUAUUAACCAAACCCUUACCAACUGUAUUUAAUCAUAUUGAAUGUAUUUUAUGUUCCAUUCUUCCAUUAUGCUCUAUUCCAUCUCUGGUUAUUUUAAAAGUAGAGUCCUUGAUUCUGGCAAAAGGUUGGAAUAUUUGAGAUCAUUCAAAUUACACCCCACCCUUCUGUGCUCGUGUUGAUCAGCCAAUCAGUCCGAGCCACUUUGUUUGUUUUCCAUUUACAGAGCCAGAACUGUAUACGUUUUUUUGAGCGCACAUGGCAACAGUGCCAUGAGGAGCAAUUCGCUGAAUUUGACGGAAACUGAACUCGAUUAGAAACACAAACUCUACUUUUAAGUGACCUUGGAGACACAAUAAUAUUUACAUAAUUAACAUUAGCAUCCCACCCCUCAACAAUAUAUUGGUAAAAUAAAUAUUGACUACUCCAUGUGCA
rnacentral:lncRNA from 1 species